rnacentral:rRNA from 1 species
UAAUUGAGGUAAAAUUAAACUUUAAUAUUUUUUAUUUUUCCUUUUUCGGUAGAAUGUGAAAGGUAUUUUUCUUUUUUGUUUAAUUUGUAAGAUUUAGAAAACGAACCAGAUUAGUACCUGGUUAGAUAAAAUUUAAAAGUGCAGGAGUAAAGUUAUAUUUAAACUGUAAAGAUAUUGGCAGGUCUCUUAAAUUAUCUUUGGAGGUUGGGUAGUAAUUGAGAACCCUCAUUUUCAGCUCUUAUUUUUGGCGCAUGUAUGAUCGUUUAUUUUAUUCCUAAAGAUUGUAAAUAAAAAUUAUUCUUUAAAAAAAUAGAUAAAUACCCGGUUUAUAUAAGAGUUUUUUAAUCUGACCUACAAUAUUUUAUAUUGUGGAUUUUUUAUUGAGAAAUAAAAAUGAAAUUGUAAAAGACAGUAAAUUAGUUUUAAUAUCUAAUUGAAGUUUAUCUAGAGACGGUACAAAUCAUC